rnacentral:rRNA from 1 species
AUGAACGCUGGCGGCGUGCCUAAUACAUGCAAGUCGAGCGAACAGACGAGGAGCUUGCUCCUCUGACGUUAGCGGCGGACGGGUGAGUAACACGUGGAUAACCUACCUAUAAGACUGGGAUAACUUCGGGAAACCGGAGCUAAUACCGGAUAAUAUAUUGAACCGCAUGGUUCAAUAGUGAAAGACGGUUUUGCUGACACUUAUAGAUGGAUCCGCGCCGCAUUAGCUAGUUGGUAAGGUAACGGCUUACCAAGGCGACGAUGCGUAGCCGACCUGAGAGGGUGAUCGGCCACACUGGAACUGAGACACGGUCCAGACUCCUACGGGAGGCAGCAGUAGGGAAUCUUCCGCAAUGGGCGAAAGCCUGACGGAGCAACGCCGCGUGAGUGAUGAAGGUCUUCGGAUCGUAAAACUCUGUUAUUAGGGAAGAACAAAUGUGUAAGUAACUAUGCACGUCUUGACGGUACCUAAUCAGAAAGCCACGGCUAACUACGUG